GAAUUGACGGGGGCCCGCACAAGCGGUGGAGCAUGUGGUUUAAUUCGAUGCAACGCGAAGAACCUUACCUGGUCUUGACAUCCACGGAAGUUUUCAGAGAUGAGAAUGUGCCUUCGGGAACCGUGAGACAGGUGCUGCAUGGCUGUCGUCAGCUCGUGUUGUGAAAUGUUGGGUUAAGUCCCGCAACGAGCGCAACCCUUAUCCUUUGUUGCCAGCGGUCCGGCCGGGAACUCAAAGGAGACUGCCAGUGAUAAACUGGAGGAAGGUGGGGAUGACGUCAAGUCAUCAUGGCCCUUACGACCAGGGCUACACACGUGCUACAAUGGCGCAUACAAAGAGAAGCGACCUCGCGAGAGCAAGCGGACCUCAUAAAGUGCGUCGUAGUCCGGAUUGGAGUCUGCAACUCGACUCCAUGAAGUCGGAAUCGCUAGUAAUCGUGGAUCAGAAUGCCACGGUGAAUACGUUCCCGGGCCUUGUACACACCGCCCGUCACACCAUGGGAGUGGGUUGCAAAAGAAGUAGGUAGCUUAACC
rnacentral:rRNA from 1 species